GUCACAAACAAGAGGGGCAUAUCGAGAUUUAAACAUGCCAUUGAAAGUUCAAUGAAUCUCAAAGGAUCUAGGAGUUUUCAUAGAUUUAAAACUUAAAUUUCUUUUUCGUUUUUCAUGGUGGAAAUUAGUGAAUUGUCAUUCACUUACCUUCAAAUGUUCUACAAUUUGGGUUACGGCAUCCCUCUCCCGAGUUGUAGAAUAUUAUGUUGGGUCCUGGCCUUAGUAUCUCAUUUGGGUGAUUUACUAAGGACUCAAUCAAUCAACUAACUUGAAUUCGUAUGUAAUUUAUGUUGUGCAUGUCUAUAGAGCUGGAACCGGAAGGUUCACAGAGUUAGAACCAAAGGGUUCACAGAGUAGGUUCCACGGACCCACAGAGUUAUAGCCUUGAGUGGCUAAAAUGUGUUAUGUGUGGUUUUUUGGGGAACUCACUAAGCUUUGUUCUUACAGUGUUGGUGUUAUUUGUUUCAGGUACUAGUGAUGACCGUGGGAAGACGCCGUCUUGAUCAGUACACACACACGGGAUUUUAUGUUAUCAGAUCUUGGGAAUUUUUAUAUAUUAUGGAUUGAGUUUCAAACACUAAUGUUUUUAUGAAUGUUAAAUGAUUUCUGUUUUAUAAAAUGCGAAAAAUUGUUUUGAAAUUUAUGUUGUUACAAGUUGGUAUCAGAGCCUUUGUUUGAGGGAUUCGAGUACACCUUCGGGCGUAUUUGAACUCAAACUGAGGAUUUGAGAGGUAUUUUCAAAAAGAGUAAAAGAUUUUUGGAAAAACGCAGAGCAGAGUUGUGUGUACGAUCGGUCCGCGCCCGAACGGUGAUUUCACACCCGCUUUGUGAUCCUCGGCAUCCCAGUUCACCAACAAGAGGGGCAUAUCGAGAUUUAAACAUGCCAUUGAAAGUUCAAUGAAUCUCAAAGGAUCUAGGAGUUUUCAUAGAUUUAAAACUUAAAUUUCUUUUUCGUUUUUCAUGGUGGAAAUUAGUGAAUUGUCAUUCACUUACCUUCAAAUGUUCUACAAUUUGGGUUACGGCAUCCCUCUCCCGAGUUGUAGAAUAUUGUGUUGGGUCCUGGCCUUAGUAUCUCAUUUGGGUGAUUUACUAAGGACUCAAUCAAUCAACUAACUUGAAUUCGUUUUCUCCCGUUUUGUAGAUGUCAAAGUUCGACAACUAUGGUCUUCCCAAAUCCCGUGGAACAAGCUUUCCACAUGAAGAUG
rnacentral:lncRNA from 1 species